rnacentral:tRNA from 1 species
UGGCUCAGUUGGUAGUGCAAGGUGUUUGCAACGCCAGGGUUGUGGGUUCGAUUCCCAC